CGGCAAGAAAGCGGCAAAAAAAGGAGUAUAAUGCGAACUUAUUUUUCUUUUUCAUUCAUUCAUACUACUAGGAGCAACAGCCACAAGACUUGUCUUGAGCUAGCUACAAUGUCUGGACCAACAUUGACAGAUAACAUGGAAGGAGGAACAUAACAUAACCAGCAGCUACUAUAACUUAUCACAAAUGUAACCUACUAUCAAAAAUACUCUCACUCACUCACUCUCACCACCAUAACGCUAAUGUGCUCGGGAGACUAGGGAAAACGGACACCACCUUGGGCACGAGCUGGUUGAGCUGCCCGGGGAAAAACCCAAGAUGAUCUCCUCCCUCCCAACGCACACGGAUUGAUUACACUCACAGGAGGCCCAUCACACCA
rnacentral:rRNA from 1 species